UACGGGGGGAGCAAGCGUUGUUCGGAUUUACUGGGCGUAAAGGGCGCGUAGGCGGCACGGCAAGUCAGGAGUGAAAGCCCGGGGCUCAACCCCGGAAUGUCUUUUGAAACUGCCGAGCUAGAGUGCGGAAGAGGCAACUGGAAUUCCCAGUGUAGCGGUGAAAUGCGUAGAUAUUGGGAAGAACACCUGAGGCGAAGGCGGGUUGCUGGGCCGACACUGACGCUGAGGCGCGAAAGCCAGGGGAGCGAACGGG
rnacentral:rRNA from 1 species